UACGUAGGGGGCGAGCGUUGUCCGGAUUUAUUGGGCGUAAAGAGCUCGUAGGCGGUUGGGUAAGUCGGGUGUGAAAACUCAGGGCUCAACUCUGAGACGCCACUCGAUACUGCUCUGACUCGAGUCCGGUAGGGGAGCGUGGAAUUCCCGGUGUAGCGGUGAAAUGCGUAGAUAUCUGGAGGAACACCGGUGGCGAAGGCGGCAUCCUGGACCGAAAUUGACGCUGAGGCGCGAAAGCCAGGGGAGCAAACGGG
rnacentral:rRNA from 1 species